GACGAACGCUGGCGGCGUGCCUAAUACAUGCAAGUCGAGCGAAGUUUUUCUGGUGCUUGCACUAGAAAAACUUAGCGGCGAACGGGUGAGUAACACGUAAAGAACCUGCCUCAUAGACUGGGACAACUAUUGGAAACGAUAGCUAAUACCGGAUAACAGCAUUAACUGCAUGGUUGAUGUUUAAAAGUUGGUUUUGCUAACACUAUGAGAUGGCUUUGCGGUGCAUUAGCUAGUUGGUGAGGUAACGGCUCACCAAGGCGACGAUACAUAGCCGACCUGAGAGGGUGAUCGGCCACACUGGGACUGAGACACGGCCCAGACUCCUACGGGAGGCAGCAGUAGGGAAUCUUCGGCAAUGGGGGCAACCCUGACCGAGCAACGCCGCGUGAGUGAAGAAGGUUUUCGGAUCGUAAAGCUCUGUUGUAAGAGAAGAACGAGUGUGAGAGUGGAAAGUUCACACUGUGACGGUAACUUACCAGAAAGGGACGGCUAACUACGUGCCAGCAGCCGCGGUAAUACGUAGGUCCCGAGCGUUAUCCGGAUUUAUUGGGCGUAAGGCGAGCGCAGGCGGUUAGAUAAGUCUGAAGUUAAAGGCUGUGGCUUAACCAUAGUACGCUUUGGAAACUGUUUAACUUGAGUGCAGAAGGGGAGAGUGGAAUUCCAUGUGUAGCGGUGAAAUGCGUAGAUAUAUGGAGGAACACCGGUGGCGAAAGCGGCUCUCUGGUCUGUAACUGACGCUGAGGCUCGAAAGCGUGGGGAGCAAACAGG
rnacentral:rRNA from 1 species